rnacentral:lncRNA from 1 species
CUAAGGUUUCUAUUACCUUAGGAUCAUAAAACCAACCACUAGCUUCUAAGGUUUCUAUUUACCUUAGCUCAAGCCUCUAUCUCUAGCUCAUAAGGGUUCCUCUACCCUAUUAUAGCUAACCACUCGACUUGGCUUCGAGUCAAUCAUCUGCGGAUAGUCCGCGUACUGGCUGCUCAACAGCCUACCGCACUCUCUCUGACUCAGCCUCCUAGCGGCGAAAUCGUCGCACACGCUGAACACGGCUCGAGUCGCAUGACUUGACCAUCGGUGGCGAUUGCGUUGCACUUACCCAGCGUGAAUCGAGACAUGACAUACCGUCUGGCGGCGAACGGGUCGCACCACACCCAACAACGAUCAUGUCAGACUCAGUCACCUGGAGGCACCCGCAUCGUACUUACCCAGCAUGGAUUCAGUCUGCUCUGGCGGUCUGAUCCUCAAAUGGCUUAACCAUCCGGCGGCGAAAUCGUCGCAUAAACGCCACGACAAUGGUUCAAGCCCCGGGUGGUGAUCUCCAUAUGAUCGCCCCAAAUCUACCCAUGGUACCAAGCUCGGCGGCGCAGUUGUCGCACGAACGCCCUAGCCUGUACGAGGGACAUCAUAAGUCCUGGGAUUCCGGAAUCCACUUUACCACAGGUCGAGGGUCCAUAACCAAUCCUAUACUGUCGACCUAUCUCAUCCUAGUGGCUAUACCACUAUACUCAUCAACCUAGGUUCCAAUGCUCUUAGGUUCUAUGUCCAUGUCACUUAACCUAGAUACACUUGCUAGGUUCUUGUCAUCUUUGCCUAGAUGUCCACUUCUAGGUUUAGUAGUUCGAUCUAGGUUGACUAACACUAGGUUAGAUGCCACACACCUAGAUUGUUCAACUCUAGGUUCACUUGUUUAACCGUUAUUCUUUAAUACUAGGUUAGAUGCCACUCGAUCUACCUGACAACCUAGUUGUCCAAUCAUCUCUACUCGUACUAGAGUUAUCAUCUGGUUUAUAUGCAAAUACCAUACAUCAUGCUUUCUACUUAGCAUUUACUUUAUGCAUCCUUGCUAACAUGCAUUCUUUACUUGUCAUGCUAUCUACUUAGCAUCUUUAUCUAUGCAUUAUUACUGAUAUGCAUUCUUUACACUAGCUAGCAUUAUCUAAAUGCCAUAAUCAUUAUGCUCCACUAUGCAUUGUAUUAAUAUGUAUUUACUCUAAGCAUUACCAUUUAUCAUGCUUUCUACUUAGCAUCUUUAUUAACAUGCAUCAUUGUUCUUGUCUACAUGCACAUGCAUCAAUCAUGAGACUACAUUGCUAAGACAUAAAGGGCGACCUAGUCGCUUCGGUAAGCACAACCCACCUUAACUCGCGAUCCGAUUGCUUGUCGACACUUGCAAUCGGCCUCCCGCGGCACUCGGCACCGAUUUGGGCCCGAACUCUUGCGCGACUUAGCGAACAACCUCCGAACCGCGAUCCGUCUUUUCCGGAGUUUAUUACUUGACUUCAAGAUGCUCCGGUUCCGAUCUCACGAUUUUUAAGCUUUUUUUUCGCGUGUUGCGGCCAUCUGUACCAAAACCGACCGUUUCGUCAAUAACUUCGCGUACACUCGUCGGAUUGUCGAACCGAGCAUUUCAACGCGUUCGUUAGGUCCCCAAUUAAGUUUCCAAGCGGUCAAAAUAGAUCAAAACCCCAUAUGAGCAAAACCCCUCUUNCUCUUAAGCACCUUGUGCGAGCCACCAGCCCUUACGAGUGAUCCAUGGCCCGCUUCACACUUAGCCCAGCUGAAGUGCUACUGCCAAUUCACUCGACCGGCUGAAUCGAAACCGCACUCUACGAGCAUCUAUACUCGAGUGCCUUAAGCCUCUACAGCGUCUCACACGAAGCCUAGCGUCAGGCAGCUUGCCUAUGCACGUCCACUACACGAGCACACUCGUCCACCUCAACUCGAGGUACUACUAGGCCCACAGGCCAUACUCGGCACUAACCGACCAAUUUCGCGACAGUGGUUCAUCUUCACCAUUCAAUCUACCAAAUCCGCAUUCGAAAUACCUUUGGGAUAUUCGGGCGUUCCCAAACAUCAAGGCCCAACUCUCGAAAUCUCCAACCCAUUGCUUUGAGAGUCCUUUCACCACUCGGUUUCCAUUGCGAGCCUCGUUUCCUGUCCAACAUCACCACUAGCCAUUUCCUAGUACCAUCGGCUCUCAACCUGUUAGCAUGCUUGGGUGCCUACUUACCCGACCUCUCGGUCCCUACUAUGCAACGUAUAAAUAGUAGCAACUGACCAAUGACGAAUGCAUGCUAUGCACCAACUUGAGAUUAUGCAAAAAAUAUGCUUGCUCAAUUAAAUCAUACCUGCCACGACGUCAUCAGCAACGGCAGGCACAACAGCUCGGGUCGCUUAUCUAUGGCCACUUGGCGCCCGUCGCGAACCCUCUGGUUGCAACAUUCUCAAUGGCUGCUCCCCCGACCAUGCCGCAGGUGGCACACCCGCCGGCUGUCCCAAAGAGGAGUGGGCCAUCGCCAGUGUCAAGGCCCGGUUAUCACCCUGUGGACACUCGUCCCGCACAUGGCCCGGCAGCCCAAACUUGAAGCACUUGCCCUCUCGCUGUUCACAUUGCUGUGGAAAAUGGGGGCCUCCACAAAUUGCACAUCUCGCCGAGGACCGAAUGCGAUACGUCCCCGGAGCUCUAGAUCGAGAGUGCGUCCUCACUGAGGUCCGUUGGGAACUUGACUGACCAUCAUGUCCGCUCACUGGCCGUCCUUUCCCUUUUUCCCUGUAGUGUUCCUCACGCUUCUCCCGCAGGAAAGCAUUGCCUUGUUCUAUCCGCAAGGCCCGGUCCAGGACUUCAGCAAAAGUCUGCAACUUUAGCACAAGCACCGUCUGGUACAGGUCUGACCGAAGUCCACGCACAAAGCAGUCGGCCUUGUCCUUGUCAUCUCGCAGCACGUUCGGGACACAAUGCACGAUACGGAAAAAUUCCUGCUCGUAUUGCCUGACCGUGCGACUUCCUUGCUGUAGCUUAAGAAACAUCUCCUAAAGUUUUCGCUUCUCGCUAUCGGGGAAAUAUGUCAAGAACAACAUCCCCCGAAACUCUUCCCAAGUCAUUGGAGGGAGACUAGGCAGUCGAUCUCGCUUGACGCCUUUCCACCACACCUUCGCCGAUUGUUUCAGAUAAUGCACGGCUAGGUUUACCUUAUCUCGUUCUAACGUGUACAGAUCCUCGAAGAGUGUUUCCAUGGAAUCGAUCCACAUCUCAACGACCCACGGAUCUGCAUCUUCACCAUCAAAGGUAGGCGGAUCAAACUUUUUGAAAGUCAUGAGGGCCGCUAAAGCUCGCUCCCUCUCCGCCGCAACCUCUGGGCCAACAGGAGUCGGAUCGCCCGACCCCGACGGAAACAGCUCCGCCGCAACUCCCGGCUGUCCUCGACCAGCCGCAGCUGGUGCUGCCACCAGCCGGUCCACAGUCUCUUGGAGUCGUUCCAUUCGCUCCUCUUGGCGCAUAGCAGCCUCCUGCUGCCGCUGCACCACAUCAGCUUGUUGCCGCAUCACUCCAAUGAGUGUGGCCAACUGAUCGCGAAGCUCCGAGUCUCCGCUGCCGUCGAUUUGCUCAGGGACGCCACUUGUCCCCUCCCGCGCCGAUAUGGAUGAAGGUCGUCUACGCGGUGCCAUCGUUUUCUGAAAUAGGACAACUCAAUUAGUCCUCGACGCUCUGGGUCGAACACGAGACCACUAGCACCGGCUAAAAAGCCAAUCAGGCGAAAGUCAAACAAGAACGUCUAUUCUCGUCACUCGGCUUUAUGUUGUGCGCGCCCAACAUAAACACACUUGGUCGAGAAUAAACCAUACCUUGAGUCUACCUCUAAUAUCCGUCUUAGAGGUUAUGACACAACCCAAUUCAUAAUCCUUUCGCCACAAAUCAUAAGUCCUCGUCUCUCACGAGCCUUAUUCUCCUAUGGUUUCACUAUCCUAGGGUCUCCUAGGUCUGUCUAAACCAUUUUUCCCAUUUUCUACUUUAUUCUCUGAUACCAUCUUAUCUGUCACGCCCCGCGACCAACCGCCAAUUUGGACCGGGUCGCGGCGCCACCGACAGACCGCCGAACGGACCGCGAAUUCCCCUGUACGCGGACAGAGUCUCCCCAGUACGUCCAAGGCGUCGCAAUCCAAACAAUCAACGAAUGUUCCAACAAGGAACGGAUAUCAAUCCAGAUUGCAUAAGGAAGUAUCAAAUACAUAAUCUACUUGCUAUUACAAGCAUUCAUUUCACAACCACGUUUUACAUCACAGUUUCCGUUUAUAUUUUUACUUCCAAAUUACAAUCUCACUAUUACAUCAGAGUUACAAGUUUGAUACAAUUUCUUUUCUUGUCUUCUAGACCCCUAAGCUAGACUGUCUCAGGGUACUGCUACCUCGGUCUCUGUGGUGGGGCGCUAUCUACUGAGCUACGCCCUCGCCUUGCGCCGCCGCGCCGCACACGAACGACCUGAAAACCCCAAAACAACGUGGGAAGAGAACCAACUCCAUGGUUCCCAGUGGGUACGGCCACCCAAGGGAAAAGCUCAACCGAUAGGUCCGAGGAGGUACUGCAACAUGUUAGUUCAACAAUAUACAACAGAUAUAUAUAUUCAAUUGAAAUACAUGCCAUGCCUCACAAUAUGCGAUAUGAAAAUCAUGUAACAACUAGUAGAUCAUUUGAAUUCUACUUUUACUUGGCUACUUUAGCUCAUAACUUUACUGUAAGGUUUCUAUUACCUUACGAUCACAACACCAACCACUAGCUUCUAAGGUUUCUAUUUACCUUAGCUCAAGCCUCUAUCUCUAGCUCAUAAGGGUUCCUCUACCCUAUCAUAGCUAACCACCCGACUCGGCUUCGAAUCAAUCAUCUGCGGAUAGUCCGCGCACUGGCUGCUCACAGCCUACCGCACUCUCUCUAACUCAGCCUCCUAGCGGCGAAAUCGUCGCACACGCUGAACACGGCUCGAGUCGCAUGACUUGACC